UUGUUGCAGUUAAAAAGCUCGUAGUUGAAACUUGGGCUUGUUUGGCGGGUCCGCUUAACGCGAGUACUCGAUCGAACGAGCCUUUCCUUUGGGGGAGUGCGUUCUUCUUUAUUGGGGGGCGUACGAAGCCAAACAUUUACUUUGAAAAAAUUAGAGUGUUCAAAGCAGGCCUUUGCUCGAAUAUAUUAGCAUGGAAUAAUAGAAUAGGACGUAUGGUUCUAUUUUGUUGGUUUCUAGGACCGUCGUAAUGAUUAAUAGGGACAGUCGGGGGCAUCAGUAUUCAGUUGUCAGAGGUGAAAUUCUUGGAUUUACUGAAGACUAACUACUGCGAAAGCAUUUGCCAAGGAUGUUUUCAUUAAUCAAGAACGAAAGUUAGGGGAUCGAAGACGAUCAGAUACCGUCGUAGUCUUAACCAUAAACUAUGCCGACUAGGGAUCGGAGGACGUACAAUUAGUGACUCCUUCGGCACCUUACGAGAAAUCAAAGUUUUUGGGUUCUGGGGGGAGUAUGGUCGCAAGGCUGAAACUUAAAGGAAUUGACGGAAGGGCACCACCAGGAGUGGAGCCUGCGGCUUAAUUUGACUCAACACAGGGAAACUCACCAGGUCCAGACACAAUAAGGAUUGACAGA
rnacentral:rRNA from 1 species